rnacentral:rRNA from 1 species
UACGUAGGGUGCAAGCGUUGUCCGGAAUUAUUGGGCGUAAAGAGCUUGUAGGCGGUUUGUCGCGUCUGCUGUGAAAUUUCGGGGCUCAACCCCGAACUUGCAGUGGGUACGGGCAGACUAGAGUGUGGUAGGGGAGACUGGAAUUCCUGGUGUAGCGGUGAAAUGCGCAGAUAUCAGGAGGAACACCAAUUGCGAAGGCAGCUCGCUGGGACGUUACUGACGCUGGAGACGCGAAAGCGUGGGGAGCAAACAGG